UUGAGAAGCCUGCUGGAUCAGAAGGAAGGACUCCAAUUCGGGACAAAAAGGGAGACAGGAACGCGCUGGAGCAAGAAGUCCCUCCGUACACCAUUCGGGGUGGUGCGUGCUCAGUCUCCACUUGAAUCUGUGCAUGUUCCCUGAACCCACACCACCUUUUAGCAAGAGGCCCGCAGGUCUGCCACCCUGCCCCUGAGAACAUGGACUUCAGCUGCCUGAAUGGAGACUUUGGCUUCACCUUUCUGAGGCUUAGGCCUAAAGAAAGUUCUUUUCGUUCCCUGCCGCUUCCAACCAAGUGCUUUUAAAGACAGCGUGGCAUUGCUCUGUAAGAGGAUACAUAGUCAGCCAAAUUAACAACUAAGGGAGAAGAGAUAGGCAGAUGCCUGCUCAUUGUACAGAAUUUUCUGAAGUAUGUAAUGGUCUUUGUGAUGCUGGACUAGAGGGAUGCCAGCUUUGACUCACCGUAACUUCUCCUCUAAAGGAACCAAUAACAGUCAUGGAAAACUAGAAGCUAGAGUUUUUUAGAACAGUGAAGUGACUGAAUUACUUUUGCAAAGCCUGACUAAAUUAUAAACGAAA